UGGCUCAGUUGGUAGAGCAUGACACUAGCAAUGCCACGGUUGUGGGUUCAAUUCCCAC
rnacentral:tRNA from 1 species